GGGGCUGCAACGGUUUCGACGUUUUGGCGAACGCUACCUUGUGAUGCAGGCUGAGAGCGAGCUAACUCUCAUAAAUCCAUGGCUCAAACAACGUACAUGCGAACAACAUCGUACCUUUUGCUCGUAAGCAAUCUGCUGUUGCAGUUGCCUAACAACCUCUAACUGGUUCGAGCGUCUGUCAUUUGACUCCGUUAAGGAUGAUAGACCAACCCCCAACGGAUGCUCUAGUCUACUGCCUCUGGUCGGUAGCUAGUUAAGACUUUACCAGAGCAUCCCACUGUCCGGGAUAAGGGACAGUUCCCGCUGCAAGGGUUAGAGCAGCUAAGCCUGUGAAUGAACAGUGUACUAAUACCCAGGGCGGACACGGGUUCGACUCCCGUCAGCUCCAUUG
rnacentral:tmRNA from 1 species